ensembl:lncRNA
GGCUCUGGCCACGCCGACUUGCUCCUCCCUGCCUUCUUCUGGCAGAAGAUUUAAUUGAGAAAAGACUAAGCAAGGAAGUCUUAGAGCAGAGUGCCCGCCCUCUGGAGGUGGGUUCCAUGCCACAGCCGCCUCAGAUGCACCUGCACACCCCACCGAGGACAUUCCCAAAAGAGAGGGUUGCUCAAUGCAGUAAAAUCACCUCCUAGGCUGAGGUCCCAGCUUCCCAAGCUGCUGACUCUUGCAACUUGCCUGGUCUCCUGCCUCCACACAUACUGUUGGCCUUUUGCUUGUGAAAUGUCCAAAGAGAAUGCUCUCACCGCCCUCUCAGCCUGUUUUAACUGCUUCUCUACUCUGUUCCACUGGGCUAAAUUGUAUUUUCUCAUGGGUUCCAGGUUCUGGAAGACCUGCUAUUUGUUCUACGAGGCACUCCCACGAAGACCCACAGCCCUGAGGUCUAAGUAGAAGAUGCUGAGCUGGGUAGACUCUCCAGGCCACUCACGUUAAGGCAAGGUGGUAGCCAGACACUGCUGCAUUGCGCAUUUCUCGGUGCCCUCAGCUGCUUUCUGCCUGCCACCACCCAGAUGCGGCUGCGUCACAAUCAUGGAGAUGCAGGUAAGGAGCACCAGGACCCCGCUCAAGGACCACAGUUAAUUUUGAUUUAAAACCUGCUGUUGAAGUGACUUUCCCAGGCUGCACACUGUACUGGGUUGAAUGGUGCCCCCCCCCCCACCAAAUGUGCAUCUACAGCCUAACCCUCAGAAUCUCUGAAUACGUCCUUCUUCGGGGAUAGGGUUUUUGCAGAUGGACCUCGAGAUGAGACCAUCCUGAUGACCCAGAGUGGUGCUGAAUCCAAUGACAGGUAUCCUUACAAGAGACGAAAGAGGAGAAGACAUAGAGGAAAAGGCCAUAUGAUGAUGGAGGCAGAGAAUGGAGCAAUGUGGCCACAAGCCAAGGAAAGCCUAUAACCACCAGAGGCUGCAAGAGGCAAAGAAGGAUGCGUCCCUGGAGCCUUCAGAAGGAGCCCAGGCCUGCUGACCCCUUGAUCUUGAACUUCAGGUCUCCAGAACUAUAAGAGAAUGAAAUUCUACCUUUUUUUUUUAUUUUGUCCAGUUGGUGGCAAUUUGUUCAGCAGCCCCAGGAAACUAUUACACACACACAUUCAACCCCACACCUAAACCAUGCUGCCUGUGUAAUAAGGGCUUGUUUUAGCAUAAACUAUGGAACUCUGGGCUUGAGUUGUGUAUUCACUGAUUCACUAAUUCACUUUUAUUAGACACCUACUCUGUCCAAAUGUCACCUCCUGGAGAGUUUCCAUGACAACUCCAUCAAGAAUGGGCCUUAUUCAACCUCCACUUGCCCCCUGUAGUCUCUCAUCCUGCUUCUACUUUUCUCAUAUCCCUUUUUACUCUCCAACUUUACAUUUUUAUUUGUAUACUGGAAUAUUAUCUGUCUCCACCAUUUGAGUCUUGGCUCCUUAUGGGCAGGAGCUAGUUCUGCAUAUUUACUGCUAAAAUUCCAGUAAGGAGAAUGCCUAGCUCAUAGCAAGUUCUUAAAAAUAUUUGGUUGGUUGGGAGUUCCCACUGUAACACAGUGAGUUAAGGAUCCAGUGUGGUCUCUGCAGCAGCACGGGUUCGAUCCCUGGCCUGGGGAAGUGGGUUAAGGAUCUGGUGCUGCUGUAGCUGUGGUGAAGGUCACAGCUGCAGCUCAGGUUUGAUCGCUGGCCUGGAAAUUUCCAUAUGCCACAGAUGCAGUCAGAAAAAAAAAAAUUUGGUUGGAUGAAUAGAGUCAUAAACCUUAUCUUCCAAAGCAGAGUCUAGAACAUUCUACUAUAUCCCAAUUCUAGAGCAUUUUCACAAAUAAAAGAGUCUUCCUUCAAGCUCCCUUGGGGCUACUAGGGUCUUUUAUACAUAUUACAAUAGCUCCAGGGGUUAGAAGGACGUCAUGAUCCGUCUUUGGAAAAAAUGGGAAUUUUCUCAAAAGGGAAAUUCCUGUGCUCCUGGUAGCUAACAUACAUUGCUUAAAAUGCCCCUAAAUUUUUAGCAAAUGACGAUUUUUUUUUUUUUUUUUUAAUCUUCCAUUUCUAGCACUUUCUUUAAGAGAGAGGAGUUGAGUCGCUCCAUGAGUGACGAUUUCAGGAGGAGAUGGUGUCUGAACACAGAGGUCGUGAUGACCAGCAGACGGAUGUCCCCCUGGGCAGCCAGGGGCUCUGAGUGGAUGGUUUCUUGCAAAGUUCCUGCCCACCUGAGGACAUUCAGCACUGAAGCAACAAAGAGACGAUCCAGCUGGACCUCUUCUUUAGGAAGUCUAGCUCCAAGGAGCCUCCAUGUAAAGGAAUCAUACCCUUUGGUCCACAGGCAGUUGCAGUUCUAGCUCAGCCCAGAUGAGAGCAACAGUUUCUCCUCUGAUUACUGGCCACACGAAACCUCUGGUCUUUCUGGAAGGCAUACAUUUAUUCUUCCUAAGCUCUAGAUCUGCUAGCAACAUCACAGAGCUUCUUUUCAAGGCAGGAUAAUAAGUAAACAGAAGUCUUUAGGGUUUCGAUGUGGGGUGGGGGGCAGGGGGCAUUACAACAAGGAAAAACUUGGAGUAAAGGGAGAAUUCGAAAAAUUUAAAGAACCUUUGACCUUCCAGAGAAAGCCAAAAAUAUUAUUUGUGCUUCGUCUGCCUUCGUUUGGAAAGCUUACAAAACGGGUUAGGAUGGUGGACCUUUCUCCUAAGCUUUGCAUGGAAAGAGUCCAUCCACCCUAUGCUUGCCCUAACCCAAGCACCGUGCUGGGAGAGGAACACUCCCCUUGAAAGACAGAGAAGGAUCUGAAUGUAGCAGAAGAAAAGGUUCCCUAAAUUGGUUUCCAAUUUAUACUGCGGUCAACACUUUAAAAACUCCCCCUCGUUGAGUUUGGGUAAAAUAUGAAAGACUAUUCACAAUCAUCUGAAAAGGCUAUGAAUACACGCCUCCUUCUGGGUAAUUCAGAUCCAGAUGAGGCUGGAUCGUUAUGGCAAAAUACGUCGCCAUGGACUGACUGCAGAAGCAGAUAGGAGAAUUCAGUCAUUUUUUUUUUUUUUUUAUGAAGCCAAAGUACAACUUAGCAAACACAGAAGAAGAAAGAAAAAAAAGAAAUUCU